UCGCUGGCUCUUUGGAGUAUGUGCACGCCUGUCUUGACUUCAUUCAUCCACCUGUGCACUAUUUGUAGUCUUUUGGGGUGGUGACAAGUGGCCGACUGUCAGGAAAGGCAUCUUUCCUGGAUAUGAAGAUUGCAGUGUGAAAGCACGGCUCACUUCUACUGGUCAUGAACCACCCCCAAGGUCUAUGUAUCUUAUUCAUAUACCAUAUAGUAUGUUGCAGAAUGUCUCAUGGGCCUUUGUGCCUAUAAAAUCAUAUACAACUUUCAGCAACGGAUCUCUUGGCUCUCGCAUCGAUGAAGAACGCAGCGAAAUGCGAUAAGUAAUGUGAAUUGCAGAAUUCAGUGAAUCAUCGAAUCUUUGAACGCACCUUGCGCUCCUUGGUAUUCCGAGGAGCAUGCCUGUUUGAGUGUCAUUAAAUUCUCAACUCCUCUAGCUUUUGCAGCUGGCUUGGGGCUUGGAUGUGGAGGCUUGCUGGCCCUUUGCUUGGAUCAGCUCCUCUGAAAUGCAUUAGCGGAACUGUUUGCGAUCCGUCACAGGUGUGAUAAUUAUCUAUGCCAGUGGGGUUGCUCUCUGUAUGUUCAGCUUCCAACUGUCUCUGCUUAAGAGACAAUUUCUGAAUGCUUGACCUCAAAUCAGGUAGGACUACCCGCUGAACUU
rnacentral:rRNA from 1 species